CAAUUCAUCCCAAUUAAAUUCAUUUAAUCUUAUUAAAGUGUUCGAUGUUCAAUACAGAGACGUGUUAUCUUGAGUUUUUAAAUUUAUCAUAUCAUCUUAAGAACUCAAAUCUAUUGUCUUUAGAAGACGUUUAUGUUUUUUGAAAAUACAAAAGUUGUUAGCAAAGUUAAAUAUUUGAUUAACGUCUGGUUCCUGUUCAUCAGAUUGUACAGGUUCUUGUGAUCUGGACUUGGUCAUGUUGGCUCUGCGUGUGGCUGAACUCCUCCUGAUUACUGUGAUCACUGUUCUUCUCUUCAGAGCUCGAGGGAACCAGAGACCACCUGAUGACAUCACUGUGUAUUAUGAUGGAGAUGAAGGCUCAGUGAACUAUGAAAAUGAUGGAGAACCUUUUGCUUCUGUCAGACUCCACUGAUCAACAACUUCCACACAAACAUCCACUCAGCAGAUACAUUAAUCCACCGCUUUUAAUCAUUUCAAUAAAAGGGAUCUAUUAUGCAGAUCCACAUUUAAAAACAUAUAUAUAAUGUUACCAUGUUGGAUGUCCAUACUAAGCCUCAGCAAAGUUUUUUCAAACAGAAGAUAAAUGGAUGUUGGUGUAAUCCCCGUAUGUGGAUUCCUGCUGCUCUGACCGAGACGUUACAAGGACGUCAUAAACCUUCAUGUGUUUACACAUGUUUAUUGUUUUGACCAGGGAUGUACUGCUGGUGAUGAAACACACAUUCUUACCAAACGACUUCCCCUUCACUUCUCAAGAAAAGUCUCAACAUUAGGUGUCAACACAUCUCAGAGCACUAAAAUAACAUGUGAUCUCUGAUCUCUCAAACAUGACGGACAUUCAGAGUUGUAUUCAGGAGGACGAGGAGUUUGACCCUCCUUUUGUUGUUCACUGUUGAUGUCAGACAUGAUGAUUAAACCCUCGCGCACUUGACGAUUCAACAGUGCGACGGCCAUAAGCCCUCACAGACAAUCACCUGAGAGUUGUUUCCCUCGAUCCUCGCUUCCUUGGUGCCAAAAUAAGAGACUUGAGACGUCCUUCAUCAUGGCGGCAGAAAACGCCAUCCAGUUCAAGAGAGGAUCUAGGAGCAAGAAAUGAGAUAUAAGAUACAUGAGAAGCAGCCUCCGUCAAUCUGCUGCGACCUCUGACCUCUGACCUCUUUACUUAUCGAUGCAGCUCAUCUUAAUGAUCAUCAGUUUAUGAUCACUUAAACAUGUUACAUCAUGUUUUAAUAACUAUGAGACAUUCAUAGAAAUGAACACUUAAAGCAGGUUUGAAGUCAAAAUGAGGAAGUGAUGACAUACUAAGAAAGGGAAGUAGAUGCAGCGUCUCUUUAAAGAAGCACUACUGAAGAAACUCAGACAGUUAGGAGCGUGACAACGGGAGGACAGAGACGGAGAAUCACCAUGAACGAGCUCAAAUGGAUUCAAACUUCUUUACUUCUCACAGCGCUGCUUCAGUUUGCUGCAGCAGCUGUAAUUAAAGAAGUCACAUUCAGAGUUGGAGAGGACGCCACGUUGUCUUGUGAAAAUGUACAAGGUCAACAGAAGUGUGAAUAUACGACAUGGCUCUUUGUUGAUUCAGGAAACAGAGCAGACCUGGUUGUAGAUGGUCAGGUUAGAAACUCUGGAGUUAAAUCAGACCGACUGAGAGUUACAGAGGACUGUUCUCUGGUUAUAAAGAACAUCACAGAGGAGGAUGAUGGACGUUAUGUCUGUCUACAGGACAUAUCAGGAAGAAGAAUAACAAGCGAUGUGACUCGAGUUCAUCUAUCUGUUAUCAAGAGUAAGUAUUUCAAUCAUAAUCUUUUCAAACAAAACUUUUCUAAUUCAAACAAUAAACUGAAACAUUACAAUAAUUAUAAAGACUCUGAUGAAGUUAAUUUGUCUCUUGUUGUGUUUCUCUUAUAAUAUCUCCAUCCUUACUUUGGACUGGAAAUACUUCAAAUAUUAAAACUUUUUUUUGGAUUUGAAGUUUGAAUUUAUAUUAAAACACAAGUUUAGUGCUGAACAGUUUGUUGAGUUGUGUUUAUCUCUG